rnacentral:rRNA from 1 species
GUCUAUGGCCAUGCUACCCUGAACAAGCCCGAUCCCGUCUGAUCUUGGAAGCUAAGGAGGGUCGGGCCUGGUUAGUACUUGGAUGGGAGACCACCUAGGAAGACCAGGUGCUGUAGGCA